rnacentral:rRNA from 1 species
GUCUCCGGCCAUGCCACCCUGAACGUGCCCGAUCCCGUCUGAUCUCGGAAGCUAAGCAGGGUCGGGCCUGGUGAGUACUCGGAUGGGAGACCACCUAGGAAGACCAGGUGCUGUAGGCG